GAUGAACGCUGGCGGCGUGCUUAACACAUGCAAGUCGAACGGUGAAAGAGAGCUUGCUCUCUGGAUCAGUGGCGAGCGGGUGAGUAACACGUGAGCAAUCUGCCCCUGACUCUGGGAUAAGCGCUGGAAACGGCGUCUAAUACCGGAUACGAGCUGCGAAGGCAUCUUCAGCAGCUGGAAAGAAUUUCGGUCAGGGAUGAGCUCGGGGCCUAUCAGCUUGUUGGUGAGGGAAGGGCUCACCAGGGCGUCGACGGGUAGCCGGCCUGAGAGGGUGACCGGCCGCACUGGGACUGAGACACGGCCCAGACUCCUACGGGAGGCAGCAGUGGGUAAUAUUGCACAAUGGGCGGAAGCCUGAUGCAGCAACGCCGCGUGAGGGACGACGGCCUUCGGGUUGUAAACCUCUUUUAGCAGGGAAGAAGCGAAAGUGACGGUACCUGCAGAAAAAGCACCGGCUAACUACGUGCCAGCCGCCGCGGUAAGAC
rnacentral:rRNA from 1 species